GGAAGCGCUUCGGUCCUGGUGGGCUGCCCGGUCUUCAAAACCGCGUGGAGGUAUCGCGUACCGAUGCCUCGGCGGGUUCGAUUCCCGUGCGUUUCC
rnacentral:tRNA from 1 species